CGGCCUGAGAGGGUGAACGGACACACUGGAACUGAGACACGGUCCAGACUCCUACGGGAGGCAGCAGUAGGGAAUAUUGCUCAAUGGGGGAAACCCUGAAGCAGCAACGCCGCGUGGAGGAUGAAGGUUUUAGGAUUGUAAACUCCUUUUGUGAGAGAAGAUUAUGACGGUAUCUCACGAAUAAGCACCGGCUAACUCCGUGCCAGCAGCCGCGGUAAUACGGAGGGUGCAAGCGUUACUCGGAAUCACUGGGCGUAAAGAGUGCGCAGGCGGGUAGUCAAGUCAGAUGUGAAAUCCUAUAGCUUAACUAUAGAACUGCAUUUGAAACUGAUUAUCUAGAGUGUGGGAGAGGUAGGUGGAAUUCUUGGUGUAGGGGUAAAAUCCGUAGAGAUCAAGAGGAAUACUCAUUGCGAAGGCGACCUACUGGAACAUUACUGACGCUCAUGCACGAAAGCGUGGGGAGCAAACAGGAUUAGAUACCCUGGUAGUCCACGCCCUAAACGAUGAAUGCUAGUUGUUGCCCUGCUUGACAGGGCAGUAAUGCAGCUAACGCAUUAAGCAUUCCGCCUGGGGAGUACGGUCGCAAGAUUAAAACUCAAAGGAAUAGACGGGGACCCGCACAAGCGGUGGAGCAUGUGGUUUAAUUCGAAGAUACGCGAAGAACCUUACCUAGGCUUGACAUUGAUAGAAUCCUGUAGAGAUAUGGGAGUGCCCUUUUAGGGAGCUUGAAAACAGGUGCUGCACGGCUGUCGUCAGCUCGUGUCGUGAGAUGUUGGGUUAAGUCCCGCAACGAGCGCAACCCUCGUCCUUAGUUGCUAGCAGUUCGGCUGAGCACUCUAAGGAGACUGCCUUCGUAAGGAGGAGGAAGGUGAGGACGACGUCAAGUCAUCAUGGCCCUUACGCCUAGGGCUACACACGUGCUACAAUGGGGCGCACAAAGAGGAGCAAUACCGCGAGGUGGAGCAAAUCUCUAAAACGUCUCUCAGUUCGGAUUGUAGUCUGCAACUCGACUACAUGAAGCUGGAAUCGCUAGUAAUCGUGAAUCAGCCAUGUCACGGUGAAUACGUUCCCGGGUCUUGUACUCACCGCCCGUCACACCAUGGGAGUUGUAUUCGCCUUAAGUCGGAAUGCCAAACUGGCUACCGCCCACGGCGGAUG
rnacentral:rRNA from 1 species